CCGACAAGAGAUUUAUAAUCUCUUUCUCCUAAUAGAAAUGAAUUCACCUGCUCCAUGUAAGCAAUCCAGUCUAUCUCCGUGUAGGGAACUUUGGAAAUAAUAGCAAAGACAAAAGGAAUUUCCAACAGAAGGAGCCUUGAAGGAUGUAACCAGCCAUAGGAACCAAGAUCAAAUAAUACCCGAAAAGGAUUAAAAGAAUUUCUUGUCUCAACUGAAGACAUUGGUUAACUUUUGAUAAAAUACGAGACUUUAGCAAAUAAUGUAGACAGAUCCCAGGUUUUUAAGAGUAACGCUUAUUAUAGACAAUGGAAAAUUGGUAGAGUUCUUUCACAUAGAAAGGAACUCCUUUUUGUUUAAGAAAAAUUGUGUUUUUAAUGAAACUCGUUAGACGAACAAUGUAUGUUAGGAUGUAAGUGUUAAGAACAUG